UGAAAUGGCAUCGCAUUGGCUUUGGCAUAAUGCUUCUUGGAUUGGAACCUAAAUAUUUCAGCUGAACCAAUAAAGAGGAUACUUCAAGAGAGCUUCCUUUUCAGGAAAUGGAGUUAGCUUAAAGCUGAUAAUGUCAAAAAAUAAUAUUCAGAAAAUAACAGAUUCUAGCUAGUGUGUCGGCUCCUCUAGUCUGCUUUAAGUGGAAGCUGAUGAUCAACUGAGCGGAGAACAGGAAAACAGCCAGUGCAGAGGAGAGUGCUGUGGUUGCUGCUACUGCGAUAAGAAACAAAGUGCUGUCUAAUUGAUUUUUAGGAGUGGCUUCAGUUUGAGGAUCAUUGAAACCAGCAGGCCAGGCACGUUUGCUCUCAGAUCCUGGGUCAAACCCUAGCUUACAGCUCUUGCAAAUUGGCACAGCUCCUGAGAGUCAGUGGUGCUAUAGAGGUUUUACAUCUGUUGAUGGUCUGGACAAAGCUUGAUGAGCUGCUUGAAGGCAGCGUCCUGGAACAAGGUAGACCAAGAAUAACCCUGUGCAUAAGACCAUCUGUGUUUACUGAAUGCAUGGAAGGGGGAGGUUAAUGGAAGGAGGUUCUGACCCUGACUUACUUAUGCUUGGUAAACUGUCAGAGCAGG